GCUCGCGCACCGCUCGCUCGUUCUCCGUCGCUGCAGCACUCACUCGCUCGCCCCUUCCCUCGUCGCCUCUCCCUCUCCUCUCCGUGCCCGGCCACUCCCUUUCCUCGUCGCCGGCCUCUUCCACCGCCCCUUUCUCCCCACCAUCCCGCCUUCACUCACACACCCCGUAGGUUAAAAAAAUUGAUUCUUUUUGCGUCGGCGACGAGCUUCUCUGCGACGGAGGCGUGGAUGUGUAGGGGCGCCAAAGCUGGAUAUGGGCUACGAGGGCGUGGACGUGGAGCGGCGCGGAGCGGUGCCGGAGCAGUGGAGCAGCGGAGCGGCGCCGGAGCCUCCAAGCGGAGCGGCGCGGGAGGCCGAGGCGGGUAGGCGCCACCGGUGGCGGGACAAGCAGCUGGAGCAGGAGGGCGACGCUGAGCUCGGUUGGGGCCUCCUCGGCGACGCCUACGACCGCUGCAGCGAGAUCUGCGCACUCAGUCUCUGAGUCCCUGCUGCGGCGAGUUCUACGUACGCCAAGACCUUCUACGGUCUUCAUAUGGAGUAGUUGUUUGCUUUCUCAAGAUAUAAACCCUUCAGACUUUGUUUAUCAUGAUGAUGGUAUGGCUUCAUACAUCGACAGAUCAAUCGGAGCACGGCAACAUAUACAAUGUCCAGACACAAACAAUAUUCCAUCAUGAUGCUGUGAUGGGUUUCCCUGAUGCUGCUAUGAUUCCACCAGUGCACGGGCGAGGAGUACCUGCCUGGAGUACAGCAUGGCGGGGGAGCAGCGAGGAACAGGCUGGGCAGCGCGGCGGCCAAGAUGUGGUUGAGAGGACCAGGCCGGUGCGGCGAGGACCAAAUUGGGAGCGCAGAGGCGGCGGCCAGGCUGGGGCGGAGGCGACCAAAUUGGGAGCGGCGGCGACCAAACUGGGCGAGGACGAGCACCUGGACAGCGGGGAAGAGCCUGGCGGAGGGGCCUGACGGGGAAGAGCCUGCUGGAGGAGGAGGAGCCUGGCGGAGGAAGACGCCGGAGGAGGAGCCUGGCGGAGGGAGACGACGGGGAAGACGACGACUCGUUUUCAAAUUAGGGGUAUUUUGGUAUUUUUGUUCGUUUUCACCUGGUCGGAAGUUUCUCCCAGCGACAAAUAAAACGGUACAGAGGGAGUAGUACAUGUUUCUAUUCUGCAAUGUCAUGCUCAGUUAACUAUUUUGGUUCAUUUGGUCUGCUGUCUAUUUAACUGUUUGGUUCAGUUCUGCAAUUUGAUUUUCAUUUGCUGUGGGUAUAAUUUUGUAUUGUUAUGCAUGUGACACCAAUCGAAUUUGGCUGUACUCAAUACAUAUUCUACUGAUAGUAUGGCAACUCUCAGUUAACCUGAUCAAGAUCUUUAUAUGCGUUUUUUUGACAAACUUGACAGUAGGGUGAAAACCCCUAUCGUUUUUCAUAUAUCCAUAUAAAUGGGGUGUUUUUUCAUAUAUCAAGAUCUUCCUUACGUGUGUUGCAGGGAAACAAUGGGAGACACUGUGGUUUACCAUUGAAGUUUGUUCAAGCAGAGUCCUUUGGCUAAUAGCAUAUUAUUGUGCAGUUGCAGGAAUCAUUCUAAUAUUUAGGUUUCUUACAAUUUGGUCUUGCACAUGUAGGUCCUCUGUCAGAGUCUUAGACCCACUUUUCGACCCAUUUUGCAUAUGGAGAAAUGAGAUGUCCAUGAAUAUCAGUAGUCAAGAAACCCAGAAAGAUUGUUAGGAUGAAGAAACUUGCGAUGAAUAACAGCAAGAUCUUUGUUUGCACAAUGAAGAAGAUAUCAGUCAACUAUAGGAUGUACUUUUCAAAGCAG